rnacentral:rRNA from 1 species
GAUGAACGCUAGCUAUAGGCUUAACACAUGCAAGUCGAGGGGAAACGGCAUUAUGUGCUUGCACAUUUUGGACGUCGACCGGCGCACGGGUGAGUAUCGCGUAUCCAACCUGCCCUUUACUUGGGGAUACCCCGUUGAAAGACGGCCUAAUACCCGAUGUAAUUCAUUGAUGGCAUCAGAUAUGAAUAAAAGAUUUAUCGGUAAAGGAUGGGGAUGCGUCUGAUUAGCUUGUUGGUGAGGUAAAGGCUCACCAAGGCAACGAUCAGUAGGGGUUCUGAGAGGAAGGUCCCCCACAUUGGAACUGAGACACGGUCCAAACUCCUACGGGAGGCAGCAGUGAGGAAUAUUGGUCAAUGGGCGCAAGCCUGAACCAGCCAAGUAGCGUGCAGGAAGACGGCCCUAUGGGUUGUAAACUGCUUUUAUACGAGAAUAAUUUGAUGCACGUGUGCGUUAUUGCAUGUAUCGUAUGAAUAAGGACCGGCUAAUUCCGUGCCAGCAGCCGCGGUAAUACGGAAGGUCCAGGCGUUAUCCGGAUUUAUUGGGUUUAAAGGGAGUGUAGGCGGCUUGUUAAGCGUGUUGUGAAAUUUAGGUGCUCAACAUUUAACUUGCAGCGCGAACUGUCAGACUUGAGUACACGCAACGUAUGCGGAAUUCAUGGUGUAGCGGUGAAAUGCUUAGAUAUCAUGAAGAACUCCGAUUGCGAAGGCAGCAUACGGGAGUGUAACUGACGCUUAAGCUCGAAGGUGCGGGUAUCGAACAGG